UUUCAGGUUCAGCAGCAAGAUGAACUUACUGUAAGCUAGCCUGUCUGCAUACAAGUAUUUACAGCUCAACUUCUCCAAGCUGUUCUCUUUACUACAUCCACCAGAUAAUCUACCAAAAAGAAGGAAAAGAAUCUCAUUAACUUUAGUAACUAUUGAGUGCUGCUUAGGUCAAGUUCACAACCACCUUCUUGGCCAAGGAUGUUUAUCAUGUGUUCAGUGCAAGCCUCUGUGUGAAAACAGUGAUACUUUCAGUGUGCUAUUAAGGAGGCAUUUGGAUCGCAUUUGAAACCAACAAGAUCAAUUGCAGAUUGGUUCUGUGGCCUCAGUAGAAACCUGAAGUUCUAACCAGCUUUUAAAAGUUAACCCAGAGGGUCAGAUCUUUGGCUGCUGUUCUGGCUGCUUGGGUCUGUUGAGGAACGAUGUGGAGAAUAUAUGGAACACUCAAACAACAGUUACAAAUUAUGGUUUUCUCGACUACAUUUAAGAGAUGAUUGUUAUAGCAAGAAGGAAGCCUCUGAACUGAAGUGUUUCCAAGCUAUUAAUCACUUCCUUAGUAUCCCCAUGGAAAUUCUCCAAGUCCUAUGAUGUUGAUCUUGUAAACAAUUAUUUUCUUUCCUUAGCUUCUGGAAUAAAAUCCAUGCUUGAUAUUUCUGUCAGAGCUCCUUGGUUCCUGCUUGGGUGUUAAUUUUACUUUUUGUUUGUGGUUUUGUUUUGUUUUGUUUUUCCCCAGGUUGGGAACUGGGGGGAAAAAAAGA